AUGGAGUUUGUGCUUCGCUGGGCUUUCCUUGUUGCCAUUUUAAAAGGUGCCCAGUGUGAGGUGCAGCUGGUGGAGUCUGGGGGAGGCCUGGUGAAGCCUGGAGGGUCCCUGAGACUCUCCUGUGCAGCCUCCGGAUUCACCUUCAGUAGCUCCUACAUGAGCUGGGUCUGCCAGGCUCCAGGGAAGGGGCUGGAGUGGGUUGCAUACAUUUAUAGUGGUGGAAGCAAAUACUACGGAGACUCCGUGAAGGGCUGGUUCACCAUCUCCAGAGGCAACGCCAGGAACAUGCUGUAUCUGCAGAUGAACACCUGA